AAGAAGGCCUGAGGGUUGUAAAGCACUUUCGGCGAGGAGGAAGGUUGUAUAGCUAAUACCUGUAUAAUUUGACGUUACUCGCAGAAGAAGCACCGGCUAACUCUGUGCCAGCAGCCGCGGUAAUACAGAGGGUGCAAGCGUUAAUCGGAAUUACUGGGCGUAAAGAGUGCGUAGGCGGAUAUUUAAAUCAGUUGUGAAAGCCCCGGGCUUAACCUGGGAACUGCAACUGAAACUGGGUGUCUAGAGUAUGGUAGAGGACAGUGGAAUUUCCGGUGUAGCGGUGAAAUGCGUAGAUAUCGGAAGGAACACCAGUGGCGAAGGCGACUGUCUGGGCCAAUACUGACGCUGAGGUACGAAAGCGUGGGUAGCAAACAGGAUUAGAUACCCUGGUAGUCCACGCUGUAAACUAUGAGAACUAGCUGUUGGAUGUAUUAAAACGCCAAGUAGCGCAGCUAACGCGAUAAGUUCUCCGCCUGGGGAGUACGGCCGCAAGGCUAAAACUCAAAGGAAUUGACGGGGGCCCGCACAAGCGGUGGAGCAUGUGGUUCAAUUCGAUGCAACGCGAAAAACCUUACCUACCCUUGACAUCCUUGGAAUCCUAUAGAGAUAUGGGAGUGCUUCGGAACCAAGAGACAGGUGC
rnacentral:rRNA from 1 species